GUCCCGAAACGAGCGCAACCCCUAUCCUAUGUUAUAAGUGUCUUAGGAAACUGCCUCGGUAAAACGGGGAGGAAGGUGGGGAUGACGUCUGGUCCGCAUGGCCCUUAUGCCUUGGGCGACACACGCGCUACAAUGGCCGGUACAACGGGUUGCCAAAUCGUAAGAUGGAGCUAAUCCCAAAAAACCGGUCUCAGUUCGGAUUGAGGUCUGCAACUCGACCUCAUGAAGUUGGAUUUACUAGUAAUCGCAGAUCAGCCAUGCUGCGGUGAAUACGUUCUCGGGAGUUGCACACACCGCCCGUCACGCCAUGGAAGUGGGUAAUACCCGAAGGUGUUCUGUCUUUAUGAUGGGAUAACUAAGGUAAUGCUCAUGACUAGGGUGAAGUCGUAACA
rnacentral:rRNA from 1 species